GACGAACGCUGGCGGCGUGCCUAAUACAUGCAAGUAGAACGCUGAAGGAGGAGCUUGCUUCUCUGGAUGAGUUGCGAACGGGUGAGUAACGCGUAGGUAACCUGCCUGGUAGCGGGGGUUAACUAUUGGAAAGGUAACCUAUAACCGCAUAAAAGAAGAUGUUCCAUAAAUUUUCCUAAAAAGUUGAAUUUCAAUAAUAACAGGAUGGACUUGCGUUGUAUUAGCUAGUUGGUGGGGUAACGGCUCACCAAGGCGACGAUACAUAGCCGACCUGAGAGGGUGAUCGGCCACACUGGGACUGAGACACGGCCCAGACUCCUACGGGAGGCAGCAGUAGGGAAUCUUCGGCAAUGGACGGAAGUCUGACCGAGCAACGCCGCGUGAGUGAAGAAGGUUUUCGGAUCGUAAAGCUCUGUUGUAAGAGAAGAACGAGUGUGAGAGUGGAAAGUUCACACUGUGACGGUAUCUUACCAGAAAGGGACGGCUAACUACGUG
rnacentral:rRNA from 1 species